rnacentral:lncRNA from 1 species
UUGUUAGACCAGUUUGAGUCGAUUACUUGACUUUGGCUAGUUGGAGCCUGAUUGAGCUCGACAGAGAUACGCUGCAUACUCGGUUGGGUAGCGCCCACGAGUGCCACUCCGGAGUCAGGCUUUGUGCUUUCGCGUUGGUGUCGCUCAUGCCAGUUGGACUUGCUCUCCACGGACCAGUUAGUGUGGAUAGAGCCCGAUAGUCGCAACGGGGCAGGGACGGGUGUGUUCACAGUCCCAGGGACGGGUAUGUUUACAGUCCCGAUUGGAUUGGGUCAGAUUUGACAUUUCCUACAGUUGGUUAGUGUAGAGCAUGAUAGUAUAGUGAUUUGUAGCGGUUGAGUGUAUUUCCUGCUUUUCCUACUAUUCUUGCUCCCUUCUGUAGACUUAGUGGGUGGACCGAUGUUGUUUUGGGCGGUACCCACUGAGGACUACUUGUUUUUAUAGUAGUUCUCACGCCCAGUUGUUACCCCCGUUUUGCAGAGCCACAGGUUUCGGCUGCUGCGCCUUCCGCGGAUCAGGAUCGAGGCAAGGGCGUCGCGAGUUAGAGCCCUACCCGACGUGCUGAGCUAGAGGUGCCCUACUGCAGGUAGAUGUUUUGGUUCGAGUUUAUAUACAUAGUUGACUUAACUCGCCAGUGCGAGUAGCUUUGUAUUUUGGAUUUGGACUAUGUAUAUGAAACUCAGUUUGUUUAGCUUCUGUUUUCUCUAGCAGCUCUCUACUACUGUUCGUAGUAGUGUUUGAUUUACAGGUACAGCUAACGCUUCGUAUACAGGGGAAAUUCCUUUGUAUACGGCGGAUUUGUCGGCGUGCCCGGGAAAAGUGUAAUCCGGGGCGUGACAGGAGGCCUUCGUGCUACCAAGUUGUUUUCAAUAAUACGGCUUCCAAAUCGACAAUCGGCCCGUUAGACUUGGUCUACACUAUUGAAUGUAUUUGAAAACUAAAUUUUAUAAUUUUUCGACAUCAUUUGGCUAGUGAUUAAAAGCUCUCAAAAUUGACAAUUAUAAUGAUAGAUGUGAUGCGUUUGUGAAUUUAACGGUGUAAAACACUCCAAAUUUGAUGAAAUUUUUAUAAAAUUUUUUUUUCACUAUUUAGAAUAAGAUCAGUACCUCUGAUCUUAAAUUUAAGUCUUUUAUCAUUAUUUUUNUAUACUAAUGGUAGCACGGAGGCUUCCGUGCUACCAAGUUGUUUUCAAUGAUCUAGCUUACAAAUCAAUGAUCGACUCUGUUAGACUUGAUCUACACUAUUGAAAGUAUUUAAAAACUAAAUUUCAUAAUUUUUCGGCAUUAUUUAUCGAUCAAACGAGUAGUCUAAAAUUGAACGACUAAAAAUAAAAAUCUCAUAAAAAUGAUGAUAAAAAACUUGAAUUUAAGAUUAGAAAUACUGAUCUUACGCUAAAUAGUAAAAAAAUUUUCUAUAAAAAUUUUAUCAAAUUUGGAUUAUUUUACACCGUUAAAUUUACAAACGCAUCAAAUCUAUCAUUAAAAUUAUCAAUUUUGAGACCUUUUAAUCACUAGCCAAAUGAUGUCGAAAAAUUAUGAAAUAUAGUUUUCAAAUACGUUCAAUAGUAUAGAUCAAAUCUAAUGGAGCUGAUCGUCGAUUUGGAAGCCGCAUCAUUGAAAACAACUUGGUAGCACGAAGACCUCCGUACUACCGAUAAUAUACCAGCCUAGCUCAUAUAUAUAUAUAGAGAGAGAGAGAGAGAGAGAGAGUCCGGCUACUAUACUAUCGAUAGUAUCAAGUCCUUGGUACUAUUGAGUUUUUUAUCAUUAGAUCUACCCUUUGAUCAUUUCCGCCCGUUAGAUUAUACUAUUAAACCAACCACCCACUCAACCCUAGGGGACCACUAUCAAUUUAAUCAGGGACCACUAUUAUCCUAACCGCACAUAUUUUCAUCCAACGGCCAAAAACUCAAUAGUACCAAGGACUUGGUAGUAUUGAUAGUAUAGUAGGAUAAUUCUAUAUAUAUAUAUAUAUAUUAUAUACUAUAUAAGAGCACAGCAGCCCUUGUACCCUAGUUUUACGCGCCCAUCGCAAAUUUGAUGGUGGUUAGGAUGAAAAGGAAAAGAGAAAAUAGAGAGAAAUUGAGUUUCUCAAUUUCUCUUCUCUUUGAAUUUCUCUCCAUUUUCUCUUCUCCCAUUCAUCCUAACCACCCAUCAAAUUUGAUGGGCGGUUAAGAACUUAGGAGCACAAGGGCAGCUGUGCUCCUAAUAGCACAGUAGCCCUACUAUAUAUAUAUAUAUAUAUGUGUGUGUGUGUGUGUGUGUGUGUGUUUGAUGCUGUAUUUGAAUUUGUAUUUUAAAAUUUAGAUUUAAUGUAAUAUAUUUUGAAAUAUUGUAAAGAGAAAAAAUUGUUUUGGGUUCGAGCUUGGUUUCGGGUUCUGGAUUUUUGGUGGGGUUCGGUUUUGGUUAUAGAUUUUUAAAAUCCGUCAAAUUCGGAUUCGCGUUCAAGUUUUGGGUUCUGUAGACGGGUUUGGGUUCGGAUUUUUGAAAAUCUAUUCCAAUUCCGACCCGUUGACAUCUAAAGGUGUCGGUGGACCGAGCCGGGUUUGGAUAGUUGAUAUACUGUACCCGUACCCUAAAAAGAAAUGGUUAGAAAAAAAAAAAAAUACCCUACCUAUUUAAUUUCGGGUCGGGUUCGGAUCUUGGUACUUAAGUUACUAAUAUACCCAUCGGGUCUAUUUGAGCGGGUCUGGGUAGUGACUAUCCGUAUACUAUCCAUUCAAAACCGGAUAUGAGUCGGGUACGGGUACCUGUAUAUAUAUUUUUUAUAGACUUUAUUAAAUUGUUUGGGCAAAAUUUAUUUCGGCCAUUAUAUUUACUGAUUAGAAGUCUAAAAUUCAAAAUAAUUUUAUAUGUAAACUUACAAAAAUUAAAAAUUAUGAUACCAUAUUACAGAUAAAGAGAAUAUAAAGAUGAAUCAGAAAAUUUGUUAAAUAGAAUAUUUAUUAAAAAAAACUAGAUUGUCCACUAU